GACCCAACAUUAUCAGCUGCUGCAAUCAAGAUCUGGCUGUACUCAUCCAGCAAUUGGCACAGCUUAGCGUCGUAAGCGAUUUUCUUAUCAGCCUUUGAUAGUUUGUUCACCAUUUUUUACUAGUUUAGUUUCUAAAACUAAAAGGAAGGUAAAGAUUAAAGCAAAACUGAGGGCCAAGACACAAAGAUAGUGUUCUGUCAAGGCGGACAGCAAAAGCGCGGCUGUCUCUUUAACCUCGGAGGUAGACGGUUAGGAGUGUAGUGGGAGAGAAGCAAAAACCCUAACACAGAUGUGAGGUUUGUGCGAGAUGGUAUUGUGUUUUUAUGCUGGGUUUCAUAGGGAGACCUAGAUCGGACGGUUGGUGUAUGCUUUCUAGAUUGGAAUCUAAUGGCUGUGACAUUUUCUCACUCUUUGGGCUUGCUUGGUUCCGUGGGCUCUGGAUUCUAGUUACUGGACCAGCCUUCUAGUGAGAGUUAGAUCGGACGGUUGAUAUUUGUUCUUUACAACGAAAUCUGAUAGCUGGUGUUUUUUCGCAUUUGUUGGGCUUUCUUGGUGCCUGGAUAUUUGUUAUUUUGAGUUCUUUUUAUUUUAUGAUUUUUUAUGCCGUGUUUAGCAGAGUUGUCUUUAUUGUUUCGGAAGUUAUUGAUAAUCGACGUUACGUUCCAUUUUAAAUAUUAUUAAAAAAAUAUUUUCGAUGAUAAAUUACCGAUUGAUUUUAAAAUUGUUAUUAUGAUAUGUAAAAAAAUUUAUAUUCUUUAAAGAGACAAAUUCAUUAUUCUAAGCUGGCUCUGUUUUAGGUUGGGAUUUUUAUUGAAAAAUUAUUCAUUUGUAGGGAUGACGACUCCUUUAAUAUUUAAGUUUAUAAAUAUAGAGUAAAUGUGUAUUUACUAUUUAUACAGUUAAUCCAUGAGGUUUAAACUUUAUUUGGGGAGAUAAAAACGUGUAGUGGUAGAGAAAUUGGUGUUGAAUUUUUUUUUUUAGUUUAACUUGGGUGUCCGGGCCAGCUUGCGCGUACCUCGAUUAAUUCCACGGGCCCUGAAGUUAACGACCAUGUAAGUCUCCAGUGGCCAUCUUAUGAGCAAUCACAGGGCUCAAACCUGAGACCACAGAGAAAAUAAAUUUUUUGAUCCCAAACUUUUAUCAUUGGACCAUCACCUAGAUAAUUUGGUGUUGAAUAUUAAUUGUUGAGUUGGAAUCAAUCAGCUAGCAUGGUGACUCGUUAAUUAAUAAAGAUAGUGGCUAGCUGUUAGCCUGUUACAAGCCCGUGUAGCAGUUGGUGUAAAAAUACAGCAUUGUCCCUGCAUAGAUAUAAACUAAUAAAAGGUUGUGUGUAACAAAAAUCGUGUGCAAGCUGUGUGUAGGAGCGGAGCUACCUGUGGGUAAGAGGGGGCAAUUUGCCCUCAAUUAUUUUUUUAAAAUAUUUUUUUUAUAUUAAAAAUAUUAAUAUAACAACUUAUAUCUUACGGGAAAAAAAGAAGAAAAAAAAAGUAGAAAAUAUUGUGGCUAGAGAAAGACCACAACUAGUGGAUUUAUAUCCCAAUAAUUUUUAUCUUCUUAUUAAUUUUUUUUGUCAAUUUCUUUGCAUCUUCUUUUAGGGUUGAUUUUUUUUAUCUUUUUAUCUUUUAAUUUAUUUGUAUGGAUUGAAUAUAUGUUAUACUCACUUUUUGGAAUUUAAGAAUUGCUAUGAUUAUUGAAUUUUUAGUGUCAUUUUUUUUUCAAUUCUCUAAAUAACAAAUUUAGUUAAGAUUAUUUCAUUUUUUUUUCUUUUCUUUCAAUAAAAUUUUAGAAUUUUGAAUCUAAGUUUUAACCGGUAACUAACAAAAAUUAAAUUUCUAGAACUUAUGUUUUUUAGUUAAGAAAUUAAGUAGUAUACCAAACAAAAGUUAUGUAGAUGACUUGUUAUUUUCAAGAGGCAAAAACACAAAUUCACAGUGAUUCAAUAUGUUUAGAUAACAAUUCUAAGAUUGCUUAAUGACUUGUUAUUACAUUAUUCAUUAUUUAGGGAGUGAAAGAAGUAAUUUUCAAGAUUAUAAAUAUAUAGAAAUCAAUAACUUGGAUCUGAAAAAAAAAUUAAUCUUUACUUUUUGCAUAUUAUCACUGCUAAUUAUUUAUUAAAGAAAGCCACUAAUUUGAAAAUAUAACGUCAAAAACAGAAUUAAUGAUCUAAAAAAUAUUAGUUAUAUAUUUUAGUUUACACUGCUACUGAUUUUUUAUAUAUAAAAAAAUAAUAAUGAACAAGAAAUUUAGUGUAAAAAUAUUUGAGUAAAAUAUUAAUUACCAUAAUUUUUCUAUAUAAACAAACCCUUUAUGCAAUAUACUUCAUCACAUUAGAGGAAAACAACGUCAUGCUUAGUACAUAUUUGGUAUAUAAUUUUGAUUUAAGAUUUAUCUUAUUAUCAUCAAAUAAAACAAAUUGUAUUUAGGUAAAUAUAUAAGGAUAAUACAAUUGAAUAUAUAUAUAUAUAAAGAGAGUUUGUUACUUUAGAUCUAAAUAUAAUUGAGAUCAAUGUUUGAUAAUUAAAUUAAAUUUAUGUAAUGUCUUAAUGAUUAUUGUGUAACUCAGCUGACUUUUAUUUAACAAUAAAUUAUUGUAUAAUUGUGUUAAUUGUUUAAUAAUAUCAUUGAUAUGCAACUUAAUAUNNNNNNNNNNNNNNNNNNNNNNNNNNNNNNNNNNNNNNNNNNNNNNNNNNNNNNNNNNNNNNNNNNNNNNNNNNNNNNNNNNNNNNNNNNNNNNNNNNNNUUUUCCUAUCAUCAACUAAAUUAAUUCUUUCUCUGCUAUGAAUAAAGAAAAGUUUAUUCAUCUUGCUCAUUUGUAUCUCAAUGAAUUGUCUAUAAUGGACUUUACAGUAUGACUAACUUGAUACGUAUAUCAUUGAUCUACGUAAUGAUGAUGAGUUGUCUAGUAUUGAAGGUAUUGCUAGUCUUGUAGAGAAAAUAAUAAAAACAAAGAAUGAUAUUUUGAAGAGAGUUUUUCAAAUUGGUCUAUAUGUUUGAUAUACAUGUUUAUAAAAUUUUCAUUACUUCUACUAGUUACAACUGUUAUAUGCAAAGAGUUUUUUUUUUUUAUGCAUAUUAUCAAGAGUAAAUUGCAGAAUUUAAUAGGAGUCAAGCGAAUAAAUAACAGUUUGAUUGUGUAGAUUGAAAAAAAUAUCAUUAAUGAGAUUGAUAAUAAAAUUAUUACGAAGCUGUUUUAAAAUAUAAAAACUUGAAAAAAAUAAUUAUAAUGUAAGUUUUAUUAUUUUAAAAAUAUUUUUAAAUUAAUUUCAUUUAGUAUACAUAUUUUAAUUUUAAUUUAUCUAUAUAAUGCAUGUGUAUAUUGUUACUAAUUUUGCUCUUCAUUGGAAAGAUCCUGGGUACACCGCUGGCUGUGUGCUGCAUGAAGAAUUUUCUUCUCUCUGCACCUUCGUGAGAUAGAAAAGAAAUACAAUGAUUUCAUUCCAAAUUCUUGGAUUUGCCAUUUAUAUUUUGGCUGUAGGCUGGGCUUGAAGCUAUAUUUCCCGAAGCCACACGUCUACAAGAGCACACAUAUCAGUUAUAAACCUUUAAGCAUCCAGUACUUGACUUUGUGAUUUGACUGCAUUGCGAAACAACACUGAAUUCUCUAAUAUGUUGUUAAAUGAGAGAUGAUUUUCUUCUCUGUGCGCUUUCACGAGAAUAAUGAGAUUACAAAUAUAGAAACGUUGACUGGCCUUGUUAAGCACAGAAAACCUCUUUUGCUUGAUUGCAAGCUAAAAGGGAAAUGUUGAUUUUUCUAUCCUCCGCUUCCUGCUUUGAUUUUUCUUGAUGGCUCGGCAAUGGUCAGGCUUAACUGAAAGGGAAAAUACUGAUCACGCACCGACGAACUACAAAAACUAUAAGUUGAUAUAAAAAGGCCACAUGUAACUGAAUAUUUAACACGUGAAAUGUUAAAUAAUAAUAUAAAUUAUAUUUUAAAAUUUUAUAUAAUAAUUUAAGUUAUUAGGUUGAGAUAAUUAUUUGAUAUAGUAUCAGAGCUUUAAUGAUUAAGCAGUCACAAAUUUAAAUCUCACUUUUUCUAUUUAUUUGAUAAAAAUUAAAUAUAAGGUAAUCUGGAUCUAUACAAGUUUUAAGUACAAAGAGUUUUUAUUUGAGGGGAUGUGUUAAAAAAUAAUAUAAAUUAUAUCUUGAAAUUUUAUCUAAUAGUUUAAGGUAUUAAGUUGAGGUAUAGAAAAUCCUCUUUUGCAAUCUUAACUUUCAUCAUUAUUAAUGACAAGAUAUAUAUGACCUCCCGGGCUGUAAAGAAUGUUGUCUCACGUAAUUUCUGAAUUUUCAAAAUGGUAUUUAGUCCACGAUCUUGUCGUCUCAAAACAUGUCUCUGACAAACAAAAUUCUCAACCUCACACAACCCUUGGCUUUUCUCGGUUAUUAAACACCUCCCUCGUCUUGCAGGCUCUAUUCUGGGUUCUCUCAUGACUCGUAACGUCAGGCAACAAAACCUGCUGAUUCGUUUACUAUCUCGAAGUAUGAUAGAGACAUACAUAUAUGUGUAAAAACAAAGGGCACCCGAGAGACAUGUAAAACCAUGCUAACCCAGUGCAUGCACACAAGAUAACUAAACAGAACAGACUCUCUUUUUCAGGCAUAAUAAAUUGUGAUUUAUCUUGUCUUUGUAGUAGUUGCCACUUUAUACAAUGCUUUCCUCUGUUCUGAUAGGCAUGGGUUUCAUUGUUCGGCUAAUGGAAGAACAGAUACAAGCCGGUGAGUCGGUGACGGCAUGGUUUUCAUAAGGUUGGUUUCAUUACUAAACAUAAAUGUCUUUUAAAAUAGUAGUUUUUCUUUCUACCAAACAGCGAAUGAACGAAGGGUUGGGCCGAGAAGAUUUUAUGGGUCUGACUAGUAAAGAACCCACGGCCCAUUUACUUAUGGUUGGAUUUAGAGCACAAACAAAAUUUAUAGAGUCAAUUUAAUGUUUUUUUUUUUUUAAAAAUAAAUCUCAUUUAAUUUAUCGAAUUGACGCAAACCCAGUACUAGUAAUAAAUUGGGUGUUUUUCAUUACAAUAUAAUUCAACUCCUUUACCAAAAUAACCAUACUUUAAUUCAUAUGGAUUUUUAUGCAAAGGUGCUUCCAGAAUAUGGCUAUCUAAUGGGAUUAGAACUCCUUGAAGUGCAAUGCUUUUUGGAGUGUGCAUUUAGUCACUUUGUUGAGUUUUUUUAUAUAUUUUCUUUUAUCAGUUUCAAGUGAAUGAUGACACCCCUAGCUAGUUGCUGCCAGGGAACUGAAUCCUUGUUUCGACCAAUCUAAUUAUGCAACUGAUCGAUGUUUUGAUUUCAAUUUAAGUUUUGGAUGUCUAAUCUUAUAAUAUUCAUGAAGAAGCAACCAAACGACUGUUGUGGUAUUAAUUGAUUGAUGAGUAAGUUGAGAAUAAUGUCUAAGAGAUGCUGGGAGAAUCGUUCUGCCACCAAGUUAAAUUUGCUGCAUAAUCUCCUUUCUCACUUCCUUAAAAUUCGUAGUGGAUGGCUCAAUAUCUCUGUUAUUCCCCACAAACCGAGUCCUUGAAGUCCUAAUAAAGAAUAGAAGUGGAAAUCAAGAGAACAAAAGGAUUGUCAUAAUGACAAGCAAUAAACAAAGAACGUUGACCAACUUUGUACGUGGGGAGUAGUAGCUAGAGGAAAUCAAUUUUUACACUUGAUUCCAAUUGCUAACAUUCUUCACUUUUAGCUUCGUUUUUCUUUGUCUACUGGCAGAUGGCAAUGACCUGCUGACAAGCGGUGACUAAAAGGGAAAUAUAACACUGAUCAUGGGUUACAAGACAGAAAAUCAAAGAACUAUAGCUUGAUAUUAAAAGGUGAUCGCUGAUAUCGCAUGCAAAGAGAGGAAAAGAAUUUCUUCUUUUGCAAUCUCAACUUGCACUAUUCUUGCUAACAAGAUAAGGCCUCCCACGAUGGCAGGAAUCUUCUCUCCACACGUAAUUCUAUUUGGCUUAAAGUGGCUUUAGGCUUCGAUCUUGUCUCGUAAAGCAUUUCCUCUGUAUCGAAAUUCCCACCCACUUAACUCCUUAUUGGCUUUUAUCAGUUGUCAAGUAACUGAUCUCUUAUCUUGUUGAUCUAUUCUCGGGUUAUCUAGCAGCCAUAAUUGGCAUUGCAAGAUUAAGAAAAUCAAGUUACAAUUCCAUGCUUCAUUUAUUUUACAGGAAGUGUAAGAGAAUAUGGAGAGAAGCUGAUCAUAAUGGGCUAACCUUUUGUCUUCUGCAACUUAAUUAAUGGUGACUUUUGUCAGUGUAGGAGCUAAAAUGGCCAGCCAUCGUCAAUAUGGUGAAAGAAAUAUUCAAUGCUUAGCCAUAAGAGGUGAGAACUUACACAGGUUGCGAACAUAAACUCGGUUGUAAAUACGACAACUCACUAAUGGCAGACACAAGGCUAAUAAUCUCAGCUCUUCAUUAAUAUUGCGUGAUAGAAUUGAUCAUAGAUGAAGCCAUUAAAAAGACUGAUCGGUGAGUAAUAAAAGGGUAUAUGCUUAGCCUCAUCAUCAAGAAUCAAUGGUCAGUUACUUGCAUUCCUUGACUUCUAUCCUUCAUGAGGCAUGAAGACAUGUAUAUGAGAGACCAAGUGCAGACGAGAGAUUACAAGGCAGCAGCAGAAAUUUUUUGGUUCCUGCAUGCAAAUCAAAUUUUAUGAAACCUUUAACUAAUCCAUUGAUUGCAAUAAGAUUUCAUUUGACUAGCUAGUACAAAAUUAAAAACACACGAAUGCUAACAAUAGCUUUAAUUUUUGUGGACUAAUGACGUGGCAUUUGCUAAACAUAUUCGUUGUAACACUGAAGUUCUAUAUAAUACAUGUAAGUGUGCAGACUAGAAACAUCUCAAGAAAUCGAACCCAAAAAACGUAAAGCCUCUGAUAAUCUGAUCGAACGUAAGGAAUACAUAAAAAUAAAAAUAAUAACGAAAAAAAAACUCUAGUUAACUAGGGUUAAUUUGACCAACCCACGUCUCAGGAUAUGAGAUAAGGAUAAUCCCGCAAAUAAAAAAGGCACAGAUCACGACGCUAAAAGCCCAAUAACUUAAUGUCAAAUGAUGAAACUAAAAAAAAAAAUUAUUUUUUAAAAAUGACUUAAAAAAGAGACCGAACUUAAACCAAGUUAAUUUUCAAAACUAGUAGCCCGGGUCAUGAGACCGAGAUUACCCUGUAGAAAAUAGACAUGAAAAAAUAAUAAAGAAAAAUUAUCAAUCAUAAGAAAAUAAAAAUCACAAAAAAAAAACAACAAUCAAAAUAAUGAGGAUCAAAUGUUGUACAUAAAAUAAAAGCAAGAAAGUAAUUAGGGAUUAAUUAAAUUGAAAAAAAAUAAGAAAAGGAUAAAAAAAUAACAAUAAAAAAAGAUCAAAACUGGAAAUAAAUUAAAUAAAAUAAAAUGUUGAAGAAUAAAAUUAAAAAAAAAUUAAGUAAAAAGUAAAAAAUAGCAAUUAAAAAAACGAAAAUCAAAUUUGAUAUAAAAAUUAAAUUAAAUUAAAUACUUUGGGAUAAAAUUGAAAAAAUAAUAAACUUUAAAUGACAUUAACAUAAAAAAAAAUAGAAAUGAAAAUAAAAAGGAACAAAUUUAAAAUAAAUACAAAGUGGAUUUAAGAUUCACCUCUGGGUUUUAUGAUCACUAAUUGAGACUAAAUAUACAAAGCUAGAUGAUAUCGAGGUGCACUGUAUUAUGAAAUUAAUUAAUCACGUAAAUCGGUUUCGUGCAUGCAGAAGAAUCUCUACCUUACAGAGAAAAAUACAAGCUGANNNNNNNNNNNNNNNNNNNNNNNNNNNNNNNNNNNNNNNNNNNNNNNNNNNNNNNNNNNNNNNNNNNNNNNNNNNNNNNNNNNNNNNNNNNNNNNNNNNNUCAUGGCAGAGCAUACCUAAAGAUGGCCACUACAUCCAACGAGAAUAACCAAUCAUAAAGAAGUUUUAAGAAACUUGAUCCGAGAAAAAAGCUACUACGGUUUACAGAUCAUCCAUGGUAGAGCAAACCUGAUGAUAGCCUUAGACUAUACUUGUCCAGACUUGGACAAGAAGAACAUGGCCAAACGAGAAGAACCUUUACCGAGUGGAUCUGCAAAGCCCGUGGCUCUGAUAAAAUUUGAUAAAAUUAAUCAGUGAAGACGAAAACAAUUAUUUCGAUUUUAGUCUAAUUUUUUCAUGGCAAGCGAUUCCAGUCGAGAACAAUUUUUGUCUUCAUUAACGUCUCAACACAGUAUCGAAGAAUUCAUGGAAAUCUUUAAGCGCAAAACAUUUGCUGUUAAGCAUAGCAAUAAUUUCAAAGAUCGAAUUUAUUAGAAAACAGGUUUAUUUUAAGUGAAGAAAUACUAUUACACCUUGCCAUGUUUCUAUCCACGAGUAGGGAACAUGUUUUCCUUACGUCGACCAGCUAAGCAUGAGGGUAGCUUUCACUUAUUUGCAAAUCAACUUCUUCAAAGUGCAGUCAGGGAAAAAAUAAACAAAAUUCAAAAGAUUUAAAUAAGAAUCACAGGAAAACAUCCUACCAUGCUUUCAUGACUUGCUCAGUAAUUUAAUAACAAAUUGUCAGAAAAAACUAGGAAGACAGAACAGGAAUACAGGAAAAACUAAGUGAUAUUAGCCACAGCAUGGUAAAUUCCUAGAUAAAAACCAAAAUAAAACUUAGUCAAAAAGGCUGAAACCCAUGUCAUCAUCGGACUCUUCUGCUGGCUCUUCCUUCUUCUCCUCUUCCUUGGCAGCAGCUGGGGCACCACCAGGAGCGGCGGCGGCGGCGGCGGCAGGAGCUGCUGCGACAGCAAACUUGCUAGGAUCCUGCAAUCAAACAAGAACGUUAGGACAGUUUACAGCAACAGGUAGCAUAACUACAAUUUAAGUCUGAACAUGGAAUAUAGUCCAGUUAAUGAAUAAACAAAUAACAAACCUUCAGGAACUCUUUCACUUCCUCUGCUUGAGGAUAAGAAUAUUCAGUUGCAACUGCAACAGAAAGAAUAUUCUUGUAGGCAUUGAUGAACAUGUGUGGUGCAGCAGCAAGGGUUGGGUACGAGAUGGCCAGUGACAAGGAGGUGAUCAUAGUGAUACCAGUAGCAAACUUCUCAACAAGGUCAUCCUCUGUCAGGUCAAGCACAGUGGGGCUGAAGACAGAGCCAUUGUCAUAAACAGACAAGACAACCAGACCAUAAGAAAAUGGCCUAAUGCCAAGCUUUGCCAGUAGAGCAGCCUCAGAAGAGCCAACCUUGUCACCCUUCUUGAUCAGCUCGACUGGGGUGAUAAUUUCGACUGUACCCUUGUUAAUCUUGGUUGGAAUAUUGAGCACCUGUAGAAAAGAAUAAAGUAGCUAUAAGAGUUAAGAGAAAAACAGCAAGCACCAAGCAUGCUACAGAACUGUGUUGCAAAAAAAAAACCCAAAAGCUAUAAGCACAAACAUUAUCAUCAUGAGAUUUAGGUGACAGACCUGGAAGAAAGAGGUCUGGGAUGGAUCAAGCCCUGUGUUGCCAGGAGGUACAACAACAUCAAUUGGGGCAACCAGACCAACACGAGCAGGAGCUCCAACCUGUUUUAACAAAUCAAAGAAAUGCAUUUGAAAAAUUAGUGACAAACAACUUAUAAAAAAUAUCCUCAAUCACAAAAAAAAAUGACUCUGUUUUCUAGUAGUAUAAAUAGAAUUCAUGAGCAAAUUUUGUUUAGUGUCCUUAUUAGCAACAAACAUGCAUUCGUUAUAAUUUCAAUCAAAGCUAGGAAAUCCCAAUUAUACAUUUGCUCACCACCAUUUGGUAAUAUCACUCGGGACAAUUCAACACAUACAUGAUAUUAAAGUUUUUUUGUUUCCAGAGACAUUGCCAGAAUUCUUUAAAUUGCCAUUAAUCCUCAUUUUGUGUAAAUCUCACAAACCAGAAAUGGCCACUGUUAAUGUGUUGGUAUUAACAGACAUGCAACGACAAGGUACAAAUGAUUAAUAGUUCCAAACAACAAAAAACAGCAUAACUAGACCAUUUUUUUUUUGUUACGGAGACUAGUGAGAUUAAAAAAACAAAGGGAAUUCAAUCAUACAGUAUAACACCACAAUGUAGAUUAACAAUAAUGUGAAACAAUAGAAAGGAAUUGGAAUUAGCUUACAGCACCUUAUACUUCGCAACCUCCUCGCUCACUUCCUUGAGAUCACCUUUAGUGAAAAUCAACCCGACAUUACCCUAUUCAAACAAAACAGUAAAUUAAGCAUUAGUCAAAACAAAAAUGACCAACUUAAGCACAAUAAAAAAAGAAAUAAAAGGAACGAGAUAAUCUAUAUUGUUGUAUACCUGAAGGAGAGGGAUAAGGUUAAGGAAAGUUUUGUUUCCAGUUUUUUCAGAAUGGAUCCGAACAGACCUCUUCAUCAUGGUAUUCUUUCCCAUGAGCACCACAGAGUCACCUCUAAGACCCCUCCUGAUAUUUUGCAGCUGGGUAGACCCAACAUUAUCAGCUGCUGCAAUCAAGAUCUGGCUGUACUCAUCCAGUAAUUGGCACAGCUUAGCGUCGUAAGCGAUUUUCUUAUCAGCCUUUGAUAGUUUGUUCACCAUUUUUUACUAGUUUAGUUUCUAAAACUAAAAGGAAGGUAAAGAUUAAAGCAAAACUGAGGGCCAAGACACAAAAGAUAGUGUUCUGUCAAGGCGGACAGCAAAAGCGCGGCUGUCUCUUUAACCUCGGAGGUAGACGGUUAGGAGUGUAGUGGGAGAGAAGCAAAAACCCUAACACAGAUGUGAGGUUUGUGCGAGAUGGUACUGUGUUUUUAUGCUGGGUUUCGUAGGGAGACCUAGAUCGGACGGUUGGUGUGUCCUUUCUAGAUUGGAAUCU
rnacentral:lncRNA from 1 species